AGUGAACGCUGGCGGCGUGCUUAACACAUGCAAGUCGAACGAGAACGGGUUAUAGCUUGCUAUAAUUGUCAGCUAAGUGGCGCACGGGUGAGUAAUGUAUAGGUAAUAUGCCUCUUACUAAGGGAUAACAAAUGGAAACGUUUGCUAAUACCUUAUACUCCUUAUUAACUAAAGUUGGUAAGGGAAGAUUAUUGGUAAGAGAUUGGCCUGUAUUGUAUCAGUUAGUUGGUGGGGUAAUGGCCUACCAAGACUAUGACGCAUAACUGGUUUGAGAGGAUGAUCAGUCACACUGGAACUGAGACACGGUCCAGACUCCUACGGGAGGCAGCAGUGGGGAAUAUUGGACAAUGGGCGAAAGCCUGAUCCAGCAAUGCCGCGUGAGUGAUGAAGGCCUUAGGGUUGUAAAGCUCUUUUACCCGAGAUGAUAAUGACAGUAUCGGGAGAAUGAGCUCCGGCUAACUCCGUG
rnacentral:rRNA from 1 species